GUGUUCCAUACACUACUACAUCACUCAAAUUGUAAAUCAGCGAAGAAAGGGGAGCAAAAGAAGAAGAAGGGGAGGAGUGUGUGUGAUGCAAGAGAGAAGAGUUUCAAAUUUCGUCGAAUUGAGAUUGAAAUCUUCUUUGUCGCAGUCAACUCUUUUCUUCGACCCACUUCUGCCUUUUUUUGUUUUUCGAUUGGAGCUCUUGACAAUUUUUAUACAUUUUU
ensembl:ncRNA CD4.13 ncRNA